UACGUAGGGUGCGAGCGUUAAUCGGAAUUACUGGGCGUAAAGCGUGCGCAGGCGGCGAUGCAAGACAGGUGUGAAAUCCCCGGGCUUAACCUGGGAACUGCACUUGUGACUGCAUGGCUAGAGUGCGUCAGAGGGGGGUGGAAUUCCGCGUGUAGCAGUGAAAUGCGUAGAGAUGCGGAGGAACACCGAUGGCGAAGGCAGCCCCCUGGGAUGACACUGACGCUCAGGCACGAAAGCGUGGGGAGCAAACAGG
rnacentral:rRNA from 1 species